rnacentral:tRNA from 1 species
GUCCAGGGUAGUCUAGUGGUCAUGGCAUCUGCCCAGUAAGCGGAAGGUCGUGGGUUCGAUUCCCAUCCCUUGACA